AUCGCGUAAAGACAAUUUGAUGUUAUCAUCUAAAAAAAUCAUAGAUUGAUAUUAUUCUUUAACUCUUUUGGAUUUUCCCAAUGUAUCCCCCAAUUUGACUCUUGGUGGGAAAGCUUAUGGAAGCUUUUUGGAUUUUUGUAAUGAUAUAAAAGUGGAAGAAUAUUAAAUAAAUUUAACAUUACACCAGAUUGGAUAGACGGGCACGGCUUCAGUCAAGAAGGGAGCGGUGGCCACGAAAAGCUUGCCUCGUCACCACUACGAAGUAACGCUUCGCUAAGGACUUCCGACUUGCUGUAUUGAAUACUAAUUUUAUGAACUGCACUAAUAUUAUAAUAGAAUCCAAUAUGUACAAGAAAAGCGGCCUGCAUAAACGGGCGAUGCGAUUAUACGAGACGGUUUUUACGUUCACCGACGCUCAUUACGUACACCAUUUCCUCCCGCGCUUUCUUCAAGAAAAUUAAAGACUCGCCGCAUUAAUUCUAUCCGUGUGUCCCGAUGUUUUUGUGACGGUGGCGUUAUGGCCGCCCGCGAUCGGUUUUUGCAACCGCCGCCAGCCGCUUCCCAGACUCCGUCCGCCAGACAAAAACCAGACAAGCGACAAAGCGGGAAUCUACACAAAAACACUAAGCCGCGCUCAAUAACUGCUGAUGUCCAUGAAAUACUACGAGUUCGUUCUUUUUACCUAUCGUCGGCUUUUUCCUUGUGUAAUUUGCAUUAGACGGCGGCCAUUUUGCAGUUUUUCGCGCGCUCUCGCACGAUUUCGUUCCGAAAUUAUGAUAACCAUUCCUGAAAUUGUGUGUGUUGUAAAAAGUUGAAAUGUAUUCUCCUUAGUCUUUGGAGAUUAUAUUAGUAUUUUAUCCGUUUUUAGAUCUGUUUUGUCCGAUUUAUAUACAGAGCAAGCAGUUAUCAAGAAAUCCUUUUGUUUUGUACUAUUGUAAUAAUUAAAAACAGAUUCAACCCACGAAAA